UACAGAGGUCUCAAGCGUUGUUCGGAUUCAUUGGGCGUAAAGGGUGCGUAGGCGGCGUGGUAAGUCGGAUGUGAAAUCUCGGAGCUUAACUCCGAAACUGCAUUCGAUACUGCCGUGCUUGAGGACUGGAGAGGAGACUGGGAUUUACGGUGUAGCGGUGAAAUGCGUAGAUAUCGUAAGGAAGACCAGUGGCGAAGGCGGGUCUCUGGACAGUUCCUGACGCUGAGGCACGAAGGCCAGGGGAGCAAACGGG
rnacentral:rRNA from 1 species